rnacentral:rRNA from 1 species
GACGAGGGGUCCAAGCGUUGUUCGGAAUCAUUGGGCGUAAAGCGGGUGUAGGCGGCUCUAUAAGUCAGGCGUGAAAGCCCCGAGCUUAACUUGGGAAGUGCUUUUGAUACUGCAGAGCUUGAAUGUGGGAGAGGUUAGUGGAAUUCCUGGUGUAGUGGUGAAAUACGUAGAUAUCAGGAGGAACACCGGUGGCGAAGGCGGCAUCCUGGACCAAUAUUGACGCUGAGGAGCGAAAGCCAGGGGAGCAAACGGG